CAGGUGCUGCAUGGCUGUCGUCAGCUCGUGUCGUGAGAUGUUGGGUUAAGUCCCGCAACGAGCGCAACCCCCUAUCUCUAGUUGCCAGCGAUUCGGUCGGGACUCUAGAGAGUACUGCCCGGUUAACGGGGAGGAAGGUGGGAUGACGUCAAGUCAUCAUGCCCCUUAUGUUCUGGGCUACACACGUGCUACAAUGGCCGGUACAGACGGACGCAAAGCCGCGAGGUGGAGCAAAUCCUAAAAAGCCGGUCUCAAGUUCGGAUUGCAGGCUGCAAUUCGCCUGCAUGAAGUCGGAAUCGCUAGUAAUCGCAGGUCAGCAUACUGCGGUGAAUACGUUCCCGGGCCUU
rnacentral:rRNA from 1 species